rnacentral:rRNA from 1 species
AGGGAAAGGCGAAAAGAACCCCGGCGAGGGGAGUGAAAAAGAACCUGAAACCGUGUACGUACAAGCAGUGGGAGCACAGGUUUACCUGUGUGACUGCGUACCUUUUGUAUAAUGGGUCAGCGACUUAUAUUCUGUAGCAAGGUUAACCGAAUAGGGGAGCCGGAGGGAAACCGAGUCUUAAUUGGGCGUUAAGUUGCAGGGUAUAGACCCGAAACCCGGUGAUCUAGCCAUGGGCAGGUUGAAGGUUGGGUAACACUAACUGGAGGACCGAACCGACUAAUGUUGAAAAAUUAGCGGAUGACCUGUGGCUGGGGGUGAAAGGCCAAUCAAACCGGGAGAUAGCUGGUUCUCCCCGAAAGCUAUUUAGGUAGCGCCUCGUGAAUUCAUCUCCGGGGGUAGAGCACUGUUUCGGCUAGGGGGCCAUCCCGGCUUACCAACCCGAUGCAAACUGCGAAUACCGGAGAAUGUUAUCACGGGAGACACACGGCGGGUGCUAACGUCCGUCGUGAAGAGGGAAACAACCCAGACCGCCAGCUAAGGUCCCAAAGUCAUGGUUAAGUGGGAAACGAUGUGGGAAGGCCCAGACAGCCAGGAUGUUGGCUUAGAAGCAGCCAUCAUUUAAAGAAAGCGUAAUAGCUCACUGGUCGAGUCGGCCUGCGCGGAAGAUGUAACGGGGCUAAACCAUGCACCGAAGCUGCGGCAGCGACACUGUGUGUUGUUGGGUAGGGGAGCGUUCUGUAAGCCUGUGAAGGUGUGUCGUGAGGCAUGCUGGAGGUAUCAGAAGUGCGAAUGCUGACAUAAGUAACGAUAAAGCGGGUGAAAAGCCCGCUCGCCGGAAGACCAAGGGUUCCUGUCCAACGUUAAUCGGGGCAGGGUGAGUCGACCCCUAAGGCGAGGCCGAAAGGCGUAGUCGAUGGGAAACGGGUUAAUAUUCCCGUACUUGGUGUUACUGCGAAGGGGGGACGGAGAAGGCUAUGUUGGCCGGGCGACGGUUGUCCCGGUUUAAGCGUGUAGGUGUGUGUUCCAGGUAAAUCCGGUUCACUUUAACACUGAGGCGUGACGACGAGGCACUACGGUGCUGAAGCAACAAAUGCCCUGCUUCCAGGAAAAGCCUCUAAGCAUCAGGUAACAUCAAAUCGUACCCCAAACCGACACAGGUGGUCAGGUAGAGAAUACCAAGGCGCUUGAGAGAACUCGGGUGAAGGAACUAGGCAAAAUGGUGCCGUAACUUCGGGAGAAGGCACGCUGACACGUAGGUGAAGUGAUUUACUCAUGGAGCUGAAGUCAGUCGAAGAUACCAGCUGGCUGCAACUGUUUAUUAAAAACACAGCACUGUGCAAACACGAAAGUGGACGUAUACGGUGUGACGCCUGCCCGGUGCCGGAAGGUUAAUUGAUGGGGUCAGCGCAAGCGAAGCUCCUGAUCGAAGCCCCGGUAAACGGCGGCCGUAACUAUAACGGUCCUAAGGUAGCGAAAUUCCUUGUCGGGUAAGUUCCGACCUGCACGAAUGGCGUAAUGAUGGCCAGGCUGUCUCCACCCGAGACUCAGUGAAAUUGAACUCGCUGUGAAGAUGCAGUGUACCCGCGGCAAGACGGAAAGACCCCGUGAACCUUUACUAUAGCUUGACACUGAACAUUGAGCCUUGAUGUGUAGGAUAGGUGGGAGGCUUUGAAGUGUGGACGCCAGUCUGCAUGGAGCCGACCUUGAAAUACCACCCUUUAAUGUUUGAUGUUCUAACGUGGACCCGUUACCCGGGUUGCGGACAGUGUCUGGUGGGUAGUUUGACUGGGGCGGUCUCCUCCUAAAGAGUAACGGAGGAGCACGAAGGUUGGCUAAUCCUGGUCGGACAUCAGGAGGUUAGUGCAAUGGCAUAAGCCAGCUUGACUGCGAGCGUGACGGCGCGAGCAGGUGCGAAAGCAGGUCAUAGUGAUCCGGUGGUUCUGAAUGGAAGGGCCAUCGCUCAACGGAUAAAAGGUACUCCGGGGAUAACAGGCUGAUACCGCCCAAGAGUUCAUAUCGACGGCGGUGUUUGGCACCUCGAUGUCGGCUCAUCACAUCCUGGGGCUGAAGUAGGUCCCAAGGGUAUGGCUGUUCGCCAUUUAAAGUGGUACGCGAGCUGGGUUUAGAACGUCGUGAGACAGUUCGGUCCCUAUCUGCCGUGGGCGCUGGAGAACUGAGGGGGGCUGCUCCUAGUACGAGAGGACCGGAGUGGACGCAUCACUGGUGUUCGGGUUGUCAUGCCAAUGGCACUGCCCGGUAGCUAAAUGCGGAAGAGAUAAGUGCUGAAAGCAUCUAAGCACGAAACUUGCCCCGAGAUGAGUUCUCCCUGAGACUUAAAGUCUCCUGAAGGAACGUUGAAGACGACGACGUUGAUAGGCCGGGUGUGUAAGCGCAGCGAUGCGUUGAGCUAACCGGUACUAAUGAACCGUGAGGCUUAACCUUACAACGCCGAAG